rnacentral:rRNA from 1 species
AUUGAACGCUGGCGGCAGGCCUAACACAUGCAAGUCGAACGAGCGGCGGACGGGUGCGUAAUGUCUGGGAAACUGCGUGAUGUAGCGGGAUAACUACUGGAAACGGUAGCUAAUACCGCAUACCAUCUUUUGUCCCCAGAUGGGAUUAGCUAGUAGGUGGGGUAAUGGCUCACCUAGGCGCCGAUCCCUAGCUGGUCUGAGAGGAUGACCAGCCACACUGGAACUGAGACACGGUCCAGACUCCUACGGGAGGCAGCAGUGGGGAAUAUUGCACAAUGGGCGCAAGCCUGAUACAGCCAUGCCGCGUGUAUGAAGAAGGCCUUCGGGUUGUAAAGCACUUUCAGCGGGGAGGCGUUACCCGCAGAAGAAGCACCGGCUAACUCCGUGCCAGCAGCCGCGGUAAUAC